UACGUAGGCAGCGAGCGUUGUUCGGAGUUACUGGGCGUAAAGGGUGUGUAGGCGGUUGUUUAAGUUUGGUGUGAAAUCUCCCGGCUCAACCGGGAGGGUGCGCCGAAUACUGAAUGACUAGAGUGCGGGAGAGGAAAGUGGAAUUCCUGGUGUAGCGGUGAAAUGCGCAGAUAUCGGGAAGAACACCUAUGGCGAAGGCAGCUCUCUGGGACGGUACUGACGCUGAGACGCGAAAGCGUGGGGAGCGAACAGG
rnacentral:rRNA from 1 species